AGUGAUCAUCCUGUCUCAGCCUCCAUUGUAGUUGGGACUACAGGUAUAAAAAUGGGCUACCAAGUAACUAUGUGACCUGAGCUACCCACCAUGAACUGGGUGUUAUCUGACCACCAACCCAUCAAGUUGCUGUGUGAAAUAACACUCCAUCAUCAAAUAGAAGUGGUAUAUUUGUGAUCUGGCCCUAGCAGCUGUGAAGGCACAAGUCAGUUACAUGAAGAAGUGGCCCAAAUGCUCCUGGUCUCCGCUUCUGCUACCCUGGCUUCUCUCUCCCAGCCUGCACCUGUGGUCUCAUGGAGUUCCCGAUCAUCACUUGACAGAAGAAGAGAAGACUAGGGCCUGAUUAACAGAUGUUCUGCGUAAUACUCAGGCACCACCCUAAAGGGGACAGCUGCAGCAAAAAUAGAACAAAAAGGCUUAGAAAGGGCACAUUUGCUCACUGAGCUGGGACAUGUAUUAUCUCCUGCCCUUGGACAUCAGCACUCCUGGUUCUCAGGCCUUUGGACUUUGACGAAGAUUUCCAUCAUGGCUUCUCCUGGUUCUCAGGCCUUUUGACCCAAACGUCUUACACCACUGGCUUUCCUGCUUCUCCAGCUGGCAGAUCGUGGGGCUUCUUGGCCUCCAUAAUCACGAAAAGAAGAGAUGGAAGGAAGCUGUUGCUUCAUUUUCUGUUCAUAGCAGGGAAGAGAGAAUAUCAGAGUUUGAUGGGAGCAGGCACAGCCAGAAGAAGAAGCAGAAAAAUUAUUUCAGCAUUUUGAAAUAAAUGUCCUUUUGGGGCCAAAGAUGUCUACCACCCAACUGGAAAAGCAGGAGAGACCACGCAAACUUGAGAAUCAGCGCAAAUGGUGAGGCUGAGGAGCAAGCAUGUUUCCAAGAUGAAGCACAAAUGCUUCUAUGGGUAACUUAAUUGGCUGUGGCAUUUGGAUCUACUCUAAUGAUUCGAAAAAAAGAAUUGUUUAUAAGCAUAAAUAGUAAAAAUAUGUAAACAUUAUUUGUGUGCCUCGAGGUUUUUUUACAUGUAACCUCCAUUAGAGAUUACAAAUGAAACAAAAAUAAUAUUUGUUAAAUCAUAAAGCUCUAUUUGGUCAAUUUCUUCUUUUAAAACCUUAGGAAGUAUUUUAAAGAACCACAAAUUAUAUUCCUCUUUUUUUUUCUUUUAGGGAGAAAGAAUAUUUAGUUUGUACUUGUUUGGAUAUCAGCAACAUAGAGACCGUUUUCUUUUUUGGAAAGAAAAUUUUUAUACCCUUAGUUGACUUCACACACACACACAAAUCUGGUACACAAAUGUAGGCAAUUUAAACUAGUCACUUGGGUGAAAAUCUCUCUGUCUUCAUCUCAUUCAAAAUAUUACCUAAAUGUAAUCUGAACCAUUUAGAGUAGCUCUACUUAAAUCCUGUUAUGUUUUCAGUAGUAAAGACUGAUAACUUGAUAGUUCCCAAGGGUUUGAUGCUUACAGUUUAAGUACAAAGUUGACAUUACAUGCUCUUUUCUGAAAAUCCCCAGGGCUAUAUUAGAGAUGAGAUAAGUAAAGAUGUGUAGAACUGUGUAGAAAUCUGUGGGUAUCUUCGAACACAGUACUCUAGGUGAAUAUCCCUAUAGGUUUAGUCAUUCUCAUAUUAAUAUAAUCUUCUUACUGGUGGUUAAUGAAAGACAAUGAAAACUUGGCCUCAAAGUUUUAAAUACUUACAUAUUUCUUUGUAAGUAGAAUUACUAUGAAAAUAGCAUUUAUUAUACAUUUAAAAACACUUCAAAGGUAUUCAUUUUUAGAGGUUGUGAGUUCAUUUUUUCACUCAUUCUUGCUCUCUAACAUAGAAUAGUAUGCCCCCAAAGGCUCUUAUUUAGGCCAUCAUAAUUUCUCCUCUGGGCUAUUACUUUACUCCCUAACUUAAUCUCUAAUUUCAGUGUCACCAUUCUUCUCCCUUUGCACAGUAGAUUGAAUUUUCUAAUCUCCUUAUCCUAUCAUCAGUGCAUAAAAAUAUACACAGGCCUUCCACAAUGUUCCUUUAUGAUGGUACUUCAUCCCUCCACUUCUCCAUCUCCAACCUGAAAUCUAGUCACACUGGAUUCAUGACAGUUCUUUUAAAGACUUUGCACUUUCACUUUCCUGUUCCCCACUCCUACCUACCAAUCUCACAUGUUUAGGACAUCUUCAUUUGUGUUUUAAUACCUACUAAAAUAAAACCCCACAGAGAAAUCUUUCCUGACCUCUUGAACCCUUCUCUUUAACUCCCCACAUGUCCAACUCACAUUGUACCGUAACCCCGUACUUGAAAUUCAAUAGACUGUAAGACAUUUAUGGGCAGAAAGCACAUGCGAUCCAUUUAGAAGGAAAGCACUGAAGACAAGGCCUGAUAAGAGAUAGUUCUCACUAUCAGUUCAUUGAAUAAAUGAAGGUAUGUUUCAGUAGACAGUCAGAUCAACUCAGUAACUUUAGAAACAAAGAAAUUGAGAAGUAGUUUGAUUAAAAGACUUAUCUGAGGCCAGUUUUUGAAGGAAUGGCACCAUGACACCAGGUGACAAUUACCAUUCAGGGCUCCUUCCCCUUACAGCUCAAGAACAGCUCCUGAAAAAUGUCAGUCUCAGUAGCAUUAAUUUAGGACUAAAUCUUAGCUAUGUACAAUGUCCCAGUAAGAAUAAUAUUCCAUGUUUGUCCUUUGUGUUUAAACAAAGUGUGUGAUCAAUUUGAAUUUAGUGUCCUCUGCCCCCAUGCCUGAGGUGGGGAGCACAACUUUAGAAACUGCAAGUGGCAGCCCUUCUAUGAAGCAAGAAGCUUGCACACUUAGCUCUGUUUUCCAUGGUUUCUUCAACACUUAGGAUUUUCCUGACUUCCUCCAGUUGUGUUUUUUUUUCUUUUUCAUUUUUCUUUUUUAAGUUUGGAGAAGUACAGCCAGCUGGCUGAAAUCUGCUUCCCAUGUGUUCUUAAUAACUAUUAUUUCCCCAAGGGCUAGCCUAUGCUUCUCAAACCUGGCUACAGAUUAGAAUCUCCAAGGUAACUUUUGAAAAAAAAUACCAAUGUGUGGACCCACAACCAAUGAUUCUGAUUAAAUUGGUUGGGGGUAGAUCUUGGGCAACAGUAGGCUAUAAAAACUCUCAUCUGAUUCUAAUGUGUGGCUAGACCUGGCCAUCUCCACUCUUGACUUUUUCAGGAGGAAUAAUGAAAUGGCUUGGCCUUCCAUUUAAUUUGUAUAUCGCUUCCGUCCACAGCUGCCAGGGCAGAGGAUGCUGCAUGUUCAAUGUAUACAUUCUAUUCAAAUAUGGAAUGAAUGAUGAAAUGAUUGUUCUUUCCUUGUAUGUUAGUUUGGAUAUGUGGCUGGUCAAAGACUCCUAUAAGCACCAAUAAAAAGGAAGGUAUCAUUGGAUUCGAUACCGUCAAUGUCUGACUUUGUCUUGGAAAAAUUGUACUGAAACCCUAUUCGGACUUGGCUUUGGAAAGCCCCUCCCUCUCCCAGAAGGGUGAGGCAAGUGGUGACAGAAGUUGAUUACAGAACAAAGAACCAUUUUCCCAAUUUCUCUUUAAUUCUGAGUAUUUUCUUAUCAAAUUGCCAUUCCUCUACACUUAUUCUUCCCUUGAAUUGAAUAUGUAAUCUGAAUAGGUACUAGAUCAGUGUUAUUAUAAUUUCUAAUAAAGUUGUUAAGCUGUUGAUAGUAACACAAUAGAAGACUAAUGAAAAGUGAACAAUGAGCUGUUCUUGGCAUAACAAUAGAAGAGUGAAUAGCACUCUGACACCUUAUGACUACCUAAUCAGUUACUGUUAUUUAUGGAGAGAUUGAUGGUUCUCUUGAGAUAUUAAUUUGGGUUUUGAGGGGCGGUUAAGGAAAGAACAUGUUGCUAAUGUGCUAGUCAAUUCAUUUAUAUUUUCUAUGCUUCUUUUUCAGAGUUUGUCUGUUCCAGAGUAUCAGCUUACAGAGCAACGUUAUCUAGGGAGCCCUAUACCUCUGGCCAUUGCUGAUUAGAUAAGAAUAAGCAUUUGGUUAUUUGUUAUAUACUUGGUUGUCCAGUAUAUAAACCAAUAAACUUGGUUGUCCAGUGACAAAUCUGAUUUUUUUUCCAGCGAUUCAUACUAAUAGUGCCAGAGAUAUUCUGAGGUAUUCACAAAUAUUGACACCCUAAGGUUACAUAUUCUAAGGCCGGUGGCCAAUUUCAUCUAUGUUUAAGUUAAUGAUUAAACAGGGAAAUCUGGUUCUAAUGUGUGUUCUAACAGAUAAAAUGUACUGAGUAUUUGGCUUAAUGAGCAUGCCUUGGAAUGAGUGGCAGAUAGAGAAAGGAGACUUAGCUACUUUUAGUUCCUGGGAGCCCUGGCUACUCUUUCUUUCAGUCACUUGGUGAGAUUCCCUUGUGUUCCUCGGAUACAUUUAUUUUUUCUUAGCUAAUUUAUGUUCAUUAAAAUAACACUGCCCUUAACCAGGAAGAACAGUAAAGUGUUCCGUAACAUACAUAUUUAUAUUAGUCUUCACUUUGAAUUUUUUUGUUUAAAGUGAUUGAAAGAAACCAUUUAGCUUUGGAUUGACAAAUUUCCAGAGGAGGCUUUUCACCUAAAACAACAGACUGUGGAAAGACCUACGGGCUUGUGUGAUGGAGGAAAAACAAAGAGAACUCAAAGGAUGAGGAAAGAACUUGAAAGUUAAAUUCUCUGUUACUUCAUAUCAUAAAGCUGAUCAGCUAGAAACUUUUCUCCACCGCUUCUGUGUAUCUGGGGUCAUGAAGAACAUAUUUCUAAGAGAGUUUCAGUGGAGGUAAAUUAUUGCUGCUAAAGAAUUGCAGCCAAUACACAUGCCCAUUGCCUUCUAGGUGAAU